rnacentral:rRNA from 1 species
CCUACGGGAGGCAGCAGUAGGGAAUAUUGCUCAAUGGGGGAAACCCUGAAGCAGCAACGCCGCGUGGAGGAAGACGGUUUUCGGAUUGUAAACUCCUUUUGUUAGAGAAGAUUAUGACGGUAUCUAACGAAUAAGCACCGGCUAACUCCGUGCCAGCAGCCGCGGUAAUACGGAGGGUGCAAGCGUUACUCGGAAUCACUGGGCGUAAAGAGCGCGUAGGCGGGAUAGCAAGUCAGAUGUGAAAUCCUAGGGCUUAACCAUAGAACUGCAUUUGAAACUGGUAUUCUAGAGUAUGGGAGAGGUAGGUGGAAUUCUUGGUGUAGGGGUAAAAUCCGUAGAGAUCAAGAGGAAUACUCAUGGCGAAGGCGACCUGCUAGAACAUAACUGACGCUGAUGCGCGAAAGCGUGGGGAGCAAACAGGAUUAGAUACCCCAGUAGUC